CGCGAUCUUGGCGUUGGGCCGCAGCAGUAUUUUCGAUGUGGCUGCUGGGUCUGUCUAUCAGUCAGCCAGUCAGCCCGCAAUAAAGCUCGCAGGACAGUGUGAGGUGUUAAUUGAGGGCCGACCGAGCAACGACACCAUGGUGGACGUCGAGGAAGACGGCUUCGAGACCGAAAUCCGGCGCAAGGUGACCAGGAAAAGCUUCACCAUCGAGGAGAAAUCCUCCAAAACCAUGACGUCAUCUAGUAAAUCGAAUAUGAAGAGGAUGAACACCAAAGAUAUGGAGGAGUAUGCCGAAAUGGACAUGGACGAGCUUCUAGCCCAGUUGUCUUCCGACGAGAUCAACAUGCUCGCUCGAGAAGUUGACCCUGAUGAUAACACAAUGCCUCCCUCCUUGAGGUGCGGUUACUUUUGCGACAAAGAGCCCACUGGACCCUUGGAUCGGCACAAGUUGAUUGAUCACAUCAACAAACAGGCAAUCGAGACACCAGAUAAGCCAGAGGCCCAGCCUUACGUCGCUGGAACCAUCAGAGGCAAGAAGUGGGUACCACCAGUGUGCGAAAAGACCGUUGAAUUGGAGGAGCAAAUCAACAUUGACCUUGGCGAUGAGUACGAAACUGCCCUCAGCGGAGCCUCACAAGAGGAGAUCAUCGACUUGGCUGCCAUCCUUGGAUUCCACUCGAUGAUGAACCAGGAUCAGUACCACGCGUCCCUACUGAACAAGGGCCAGCCCAUCGGCAUGGGCUGGGAUGGCAUCACAAAGGCGUCACAGCCAAAAGCAUUCCCCAAUGAGCCUCCUAACCUUACCAACCCUGAUGAGACCAUCAAGAGGGUCAAGGAAGAUGACCACACCCUCAAGGAGGUCAACUGGAACAAUAUUAAGAACAUUUCUGAUGAAAAGUUCGUUCAACUGUUUGAAGCGCUGGCCUCCAACACCCACUUGGAGAUCUUGAGCCUGACCAACACUGGCUUGGCGGACAGGCACACCAAUUUGCUGGCCGACUCACUCGAGAAAAACAGCACCUUGCGUGUUCUCAACCUUGAGACCAAUUUCAUCAGCCCUGCUGGAAUGGUGACUCUCCUCAAGUCGCUUCUCACCACAAAGUCUGUUGAGGAAUUCCGUGGUUCAAACCAGAGAUCCCAGGUGCUUGGAAACAAAAUUGAGAUGCAGAUCACUGAGAUUGUUGAACAGAACAUCUCGCUCUUGCGGCUUGGACUCCAUUUGGAGUACAAUGACGCGCGCCACAGAGUCGCUGCUCACCUCCAGAGAAAUCUCGACCGCACUUUGCCACCACGCAGUGGGGCAGUAACACCAGCCGCAUCACAACGUAGUGGUGCCAUUUCACCCGUGCUUGGCGCUGCUUCACAACCGUCCUUGCCCCCCAUCUCCGAAAUCCCCGCCAAAUUAGCUGCUAACCCUUCCGCACCCGCUCCCGUCGAUCCCCCCGCGGCCGCAAAUUGAAUUGACAGGCCGCUGAUCUCACAAUCUCUCUCUUCGCUAAUUUUAGUCUCUCUCUCUCUCUACAUUUGUCUAUAUCUCUCUCACACACACUUCCCCCUCAUUUUGUCACCUGUAUUUGUCCAAUUAAAUCAGCAGGUAAUUUCAUCACGAGUACGCCCUUCGGAAUCCGUCGUUUAUUUUUUGCCCUCCUACUAUUUUGUUUUUUCUCACUUUCGUUCUUUCGAUCUCAUCUCAGUAUCUAGUGUGCCACCUUCCGUACUGAUCAAGCUCAUCACACCCUCCCAAAGGCAUUUUUGCGAUUUUUCAUACCGCAGGGGAUUUUUUAUCGCCCUCUGUUUUUUUGGCUUCGUGCAUAUUAAACAACUCUAGACUCGAGCUAGCUGAAAAGCGAGUGGUUUCAAGCUCACCCCGCGCAGUAGUUACUUGUCUAAUUUUGUGUAAAUAAUGAUAACACAAACGCAGCAUUUUGGUGAUUGAUAAUCCACUUAUCCGCUACACUAAUUAUUAUCAGUCCACCUUUUCAGGUUAUUAACCAGCAUUGUUUGUGCCGCAUUUUUAGUUUUUGCAACAUAUUUUUUACAUUAACCGCCAGUGUGUGAAACUUUAAUAUGACCGAAAUCGUAAUAACCAAGCAUGGUGUAUUUUGCUUUUGUGGGCUAAUCGAUCAAAGUAAGCCAUUUUAAGUACAAACAACCACUGAACUAUUUUGUAAUAAACAAACGCUGCAACAUUUUUCAAUGUCCAGCUUAACGUAACAAGCACAUAACCGAUUUCGGUAAGUACUACCGCUGAGAGAGUAAAAAAAGUACACAAACAAAUCACUCGAACACGCUUUUAGUCUAGUCGGGAGAAAGCUUCUUAAAAUCACCAUCUCAAUUACAAAUAAAUCCGGGGGUUGUGGGUACUGAAAAAGUUAAAGUGGCUUACUUGCUCAUCUCACUAGAUAUGCCAGUCACUCGCAGUGCAGCCUCAUUACUAAAAAUCAGCGUUAAUUGGUAAUUAGCGUUGCACGCGCGUGCUUGUUUUGGCUGGAGACCAAUCGAAAAAUCGCGGCUGCACUGCGGGUUUGAGCUGCAAUUGAAAUAAAUUAGCUAGGGAGCGAGGGCCACUUGGAAGACAUUUGUUCUGAAUGUAUCUCUGUGUUUGCAGUCCGCCUGACACGCGUGGGGGCAGCAAGCUCGUAGUGCGAUGAACACUCGUAGACCGUCUGCGACGCACUGGUCGUCUGUCUCGUAACCUCCUCAUCGGUUAUCUGACUUCGAAGAAGUCCUUCGAAAAUUAGCCUCUAUCCUCACAUUAACUCAUACAAAUUAGUCGCUUGCUUCGUUGAUUGGUAAAGUGCUCAGUGUGCGGUUCCUCUUCGACUCUCGACGGGGGACGCCGCCGCUGGAAAAUGCUUUGUAGUUGAUUCACGCCACAGUAGGGAGGAGAGAAAAAGAAAUACGGAAAAUUAUUCUCUGUCAUUGUAUAAGCCAGCAAGAAGUAAUAUGGAGGUUAUUUUGAGAUAUGAUUUGAUUGGAUCAGUGUCGCCGCGCUGCUGAAAGAGUUGGAAGACGCCUCUGCUCUUCUUUGUGCUUGUUGUACAACACACUACUUUAAUUGACUCACUGCCCGAAUUGGCCCGGCGAAAAGCGGGCCGAAAAGCAAGCAAGCAAGAAAUAUUGCGUGUCAAAAGCACUUUUCGUGUGUUUCUCACAGAUUUUUAUUUUGUUAAAAAGUAUGCAAAGGAAAAUCGAGUGCGCGCACGAGCCCAGUCACUGAGAUGUAGUUUUCAUGAUAAGUGGCCCCGAAGACACGCGGAUUUGGAUUUGCUCGAACACCUGCAUUUAUUUCCCUAGUCGGAGAGCGGAUUGACGAGCCAUUUAUUGUGAAAACUCGGUUCUUAAACACAGUAUGUGAUGCAAAUGUUGGUGGACCUUGUACAGUAAUAAUCUAUUCGGUAGAGUUCUCUUUUUGCGUUGGAAAAUUUAUAAUUUAUUUGACAGUUCACUGUCGUUGGUUUUACAUAUAUGGAGUCCAUUUUUAUGUAAUUUUUAUUUGUUAACUCUCUCGAAAUAUGAUUUAUAUCCCGAUUCUAGCUUUAGUGUUGUAUUCCUGAGAUUUUAUUUGAACGAGUUGUCUCGUUUAUUCGCUAAUGGAAGUAUGAGAGUUCAGAACAAAGGAUGGAAAAUGUCUCUAGUUUUAACAGGCACAGGACUGUUUACCCCGGAAAUCUGGUGGCUGCUGUAAAUUGUUUGAUUCAAUUUACUCCCUAUAUAAAUUUACUGUUUUAAUGGAUUUGUAAGCUAAUUUUUUGUGAAGUUUAAAUCAGUGCUACUCUCGAGCUACACCAAACCUCUCGGCUCCUUUACCUAUUUUGUAUGUAUGCGAUUUAAGAUAUGAAACCGUUGCUAAAUAAAUUUAUUGCGUACUAUUAUGUAGAUCAAAAUGGUAAGAUAAUUAUUCGAGAAGCACAAGAUUUUGUCAUGAUGAACAAACUCAAAUAUAAGAGGUCACCUCAUAAAUCA